rnacentral:lncRNA from 1 species
CCAAAGCAUUUAGAAAGUCUUUGAAGUUCUCCUACAGAGGCUGCUUUCUGAUACAGUGUCUGAAAAACUUGCCUGGCAUCUCACUAGGGGGCUUCUUUGGUCCUCUGAUACCACAGCCACAUCGAUGAGAGCACUGCACACAUCCAAAACCGGAGAAAAGCAGGAGAGAGAGAGAAGCAACAUUAUACUGCUCACGGAAGCUCAGAGGGAGUAGAGAGCCUGCCUACAACUAAAAUGUCAUGUUAAAGGAGCUGUGACAAAAAAAACUACUUGAAAAUCUAGCAAUGUGCAUUUACAUCAUAGAACUACAUCUCUAUGGAAAAGCAUUCCAGUUUCAAGGAAACCAGAUGAAUCCCAAGAAGAAGAGGAGGAGCUUCAGAGAGGGGACAUGCUUUUCUCAAGGAAAAGCAAGAAGAGUUGGAAAAGACCACUCAACAAUGAUCUGCAAGCAAGUUGGGAAACCUUGACUCUAACAAAAUGCAUUUAAUUAAAUGACUGGCCCACUGUGUGGGAUCAGAGAUCCAUCCCGGCUUUGGAAAAGAUUUCUGGUAAUUAUGGAGUCACAUGAGACUUUUGGACUGGAGUUAGCACACCAGAUGAGAUGAAUCCCGGGAAGAGGAGGAGGAAGGUUGGGAACAGUGAAGGAGUAUGUAAUCAGAGUAGGAAGCAGGGGAUUCCAUGGGGAAGUGGACACUCAGCUUCCUCAGCACUAGUCCUGGCCAAAAUUCCACUCAUUGUCUGUUCUGUCUGGAAGAAAAAGUAUUACAUUUAACAGACCUUUAAAGAAAUGAGAAUGAUCUCACCUGAGGCAAACCAUGACAUUCCUCUGGUCUCUAAACCACAGCCUCCACCAGCAACUCCUGAAUAAGAACUGCAAACAAGCAACAACAAAAUCAGUCUUUGGCAGGAAGCUCUGUGCAGGGGUGGUGUUUACAUGCAUUCAUUCUACCCUCUCAAGUGGAAAAAAGUGCUUAUGCUUCUCAGAAGGAUGCAACCAUGAGGGAUUAGAUGCCAAGAGGUAUGGCCUCUGCCAAACAGGAGGAAAAAUGGUUCUUCAUUUCCAUAAACUUCCUCUGCUGUAAUGUCUAGUGUGGCUUGGUUGCUCAGUUCUGAUUGUGACAGUUUUCUUCCUGGAAAGCAGGCAUAGUGGCUUCAGACAAGUCAUUCUUCCUCUCAGCACCCCACUUUCUGAUCUGUGCGAUGGAAGCAUUGGACACAAUAAUCCAGUUUCCUUUUCAG